AACUCAGCAUGUCUUUGCAGUCAGCACUUUAAUAAUAAAUUAAUUAAUUUUUUAUUUGUGGAUUUACAGGGUACAAAUAUGGGCCUGCCCAAGCCAACAGAUGGCUUGUGGGGCAGUGCCAACAUCCAUGCUGAUAGAGCAAGCACAGAAAGUGGAUGGAUCCCUGCGGUAUGCCUGACAAAACUGGGGCCGGACUGGAACUAAUGCUAUCGACGGAAACACUCUGCUGUUGCAAUCAAAGAUAUGCUUCUAUCCAGGAUAUUAAUGAAGUGUUCUUGAAUAUUGAUUUCAUUUUGACAAGCAGUUUAGGAUGGGACACGCGAUCAAAGGCUUUCUCGAAAUCUAAGAAUAUAAUGUCUACCUGGCCUUGCUUAUCUAAUGAUGCGGCAAAAUCAUGAACGGUUUCGAGCAAUUGUGUUACCGUUGACACAUUCUUGCGAAAACCAUGCUGUCUGGAAUCGAUCAGGUUGGAAUUUUCAAGGAACUCCGAUAUAUGUUUGAAAAUGACAUGUUCAAGUGUCUUCACACAUGUGCAUAAAAUGGAAAUAGGCCGGUAUAUCAUAAUUAUUAGUCAUUAGUCAUCCAUGGAUACGAAACAUACUGUGAUAUGUGCAAUAGGUUGAUUGAGUCUGUUUGAAGGAAAGCUGAGCAUAGCUUGUUUUUAAUGUUGUUGGAUGUCUAGCUCAACAGAAAGCUUGCAAAAGAUUCUUCCAAGUGCUUUAAAACCUGCUAUAUGCAGGCCUUGUGUCACGGAACUCUUUUACAGCUGCAAAGCUAGCUUUUCUGCGUGGUAUGGCAGCAGCAUAACUGUGCUGCGAAAGACAUGUACGCAAUGGAGCUAUAUGCGCUAUUCUUUUUUUGAACUCACGAUAGAGGUAAAAUGAGUGUAAUAGUUAUGUCGCCGAAUGCUAUGGUGGUUUCCACUUUCAAAAGAGUGCAGAAGCAAACUUUACAACAUACACAAUGAAACUGUUGUGUACUUUACGAACUCUAUAUAUAAACAAUGUGACUUAUGAUAAUCUGCAAGAUCUGUGCUGUUUGCUACUGCCUGAAGAAGACAGCAGUAGAGGCUAUUUAACAAUAUUUUAGAGAGCAGUGGACUGGCAUGCACCGACGUUUUUCAGGCUCGGGCGGUCAACUUUUGGAGCCAAGGGACCUUUCAAAGCCUUGUGAGCUCACUGUCACUGUGUUCACAAUAAUCAACUAGCCAAGCAGUUCGUCAUAACACAGCAGUUCAGAAUCAGAAUCAGUUUUAUUUUCCUCAAGGAAAGGAAAAAUGGACCCAAGACAUAAAGCUGCUCAUUGAGCAGCUUGACGAGGCCUGAGGCCCUACAGGCAGUGGCAACAGUGGCAAAACAGCAGUGUAUGUCGUAAACCCAUACUAGAAAAAAAGAAAAGCAACUCGAGAAACAAAAAACUAAAAA